UUUUUAUAUAAUCAUGUUCAAUCUCCUUAUGUAAGACACUUAUAUGAUUUUGAUCGUGUUGCUUCUUUCGAGAAGAAACGUUUUAGGAUUCUCGGUUUGGAUUCCAAGUUUGAGAAGAAUCUUUUCAUCCCCUUCAGAGAGAUCAAGGUUGAAUGCACAGUCGCAAAAGAUGAUGAAACGUUGGUUUUAGGAUCCAAUAUGACAAUGCUCUUGUGUGCUCUGGUUUUUCUCUUAUGUAAAGGUUUCGUGUCAGUAUGCUUCUUAUGUGGUGGAACAUGUAGAUGCAAUGCAAUUUGUGGUCAAUGCUUACAUUGCAGCUAUCCGAUUUUUGAAGUUGUAAUCCGACAAAAGUUUUUGCUGUUAUGGUUACAUUGGGACAAUAACUAUCCGAUCCUGAUAUGGACCAUCGAAUUGCAGGAAACCCAGGAUUAAUUGUUUCCUGAUAGGAACAGAUGCAGAUAUUUCAAUAAUACAAAAGAUUCUUCAAUUCUUCUCUAUGUAAAAGAAGACCACGACGGGGCAGAACCAUCAGGGAACUCAAUCUCCGCAGUAAGCUUAUGAGGCCGUCUUCUGUGGUCUCUGGAAGUAAUGCAUAUUAUUGCAGUUUUUAAGAAAAGAUUGAAAGAUAUGACCAUGGCAGUGUGUUUAAUGUGUUGUGCAACAGAUAUGCUCUGUGUGCCUUCCCAGAAGCAAGUGGUGGUGGUAGGCAAUAGGACUUCCGAGGAAUUUGAAAACAUGCUCGUUGUAGUUCACACAUUAUAUGAUCCCAACAAAACAAACAUUCAAGUAUGAUCAUUUAAGAGAUAUGAAGUUGAAUCACAAGUUCAACCAAGUAGUAAAUAACUAGCACCUUCUCUGAAUCAUAGAUUCAGUUUACAUAAACAAACAAUCCUUAACGGAAGAGAGAUGGAGAAAAGAAAUUUUCUGACGAGGAAAUGUACUACUAUGAAAUAGAUGUUUCUUAAACUAGCCUCUUUUUCAGUUCUAGGAUAUCUAAUUCACACAGGUGUAGGUGUUUUGGCCCUGCACAUGAAAAUCAUGUUUAUCUGUACUAAGCUGUGCAGCAGCAAUCCAACAUCAUGAUAAUCCAACAAACAAAUGUAACCAAACUAGCAAUUCUGCAUCUAAAUGAUACCUAUUUAACUCUAAAAACAACAAAUCCAGAACCCCUCUUGUUGAAUAUGUCUAAACUAGAAUAUCAUGUAUACUAGUCAUGAACCGUAAAGUAGCAAAUUUGUAUUCCAGCAGCCCGGUGGCCAAAUGCACCAAGAUUUCUCAUUGCCUCCAACUACAAACCAAUUUUUUUAUUCGCAUCAACAUGUUACAUCUCCAAUUGAAACAUGACAAUCAGUAGCAUUUAUGCAUACAUAAUACAUGCAUAAGAAGGAUUUCAAGGAGUCCCUGACAAAUGCAUAAAGAAAAAAGGACGGCUAUUAUAUUGAAGCACUUGUUACUACUUAAAACUGAUGGUUUUCCUUUGUUGCUUUUCAAGGGGAUAUCUAUUUUCAUGUAUAUUUCCAAUAUUCAA